UACGUAGGGUGCAAGGCGUUGUCCGGAAUUAUUGGGCGUAAAGAGCUCGUAGGCGGUCUGUCGCGUCGGAUGUGAAAACCCAGGGCUCAACCCUGGGCCUGCAUUCGAUACGGGCAGACUAGAGUUCGGUAGGGGGAGACUGGAAUUCCUGGUGUAGCGGUGAAAUGCGCAGAGAUCGGGAAGAACAUCAGUGGCGAAGGCGGCCUGCUGGGCUGUUGCUGACGCUGAGGCGCGACAGCGUGGGGAGCAAACGAGGAUAGAU
rnacentral:rRNA from 1 species